UACGGGGGGAGCAAGCGUUGUUCGGAUUUACUGGGCGUAAAGGGCGCGUAGGCGGCGCGACAAGUCACUUGUGAAAUCCCCGGGCUCAACCUGGGAACUGCAUUUGUGACUGCAUCGCUGGAGUGCGGCAGAGGGGGAUGGAAUUCCGCGUGUAGCAGUGAAAUGCGUAGAUAUGCGGAGGAACACCGAUGGCGAAGGCAAUCCCCUGGGCCUGCACUGACGCUCAUGCACGAAAGCGUGGGGAGCAAACAGG
rnacentral:rRNA from 1 species